rnacentral:rRNA from 1 species
AUUGAACGCUGGCGGCAGGCCUAACACAUGCAAGUCGAGCGGAGCGGCGGUCGGGUGAGUAAUGCCUAUGAGUCUGCCUGGUAGCGGGAGAUAACGUCCGGACAUGGGCGCUAAUACCGCAUACUAUCAUAUGAGCCUAGGUCGUAUUCGCUAGUUGGUGUGGUAAAGGCCUACCAGGGCGACGAUCCGGAACUGGUCUGAGCGGCUAAUCAGUCACGCCGGAACGGUGAGACGGGGCAGACGCCUACGUGAGGCAGCAGUGGGGAAUAUUGGACAAUGGGCGAAAGCCUGAUACCGCCAUGCCGCGUGUGUGAAGAAGGGCUUCGGAUUGUAAAGCACGUUAAGUUGGGAGGGGUUAGCAACAGAAUAAGCACCGGCUAACUUCGUGCCAACAGCCGCGGUAAUAC